rnacentral:rRNA from 1 species
GACGAACGCUGGCGGCGUGCUUAACACAUGCAAGUCGAACGGUGACCCUCGGAGCUUGCUUCGGGGUGAACAGUGGCGAACGGGUGAGUAACACGUGAGUAACCUGCCCCUGACUCUGGAAUAAGCGCUGGAAACGGCGUCUAAUACCGGAUAUGACACACCCUCGCAUGGGGAGUGUGUGGAAAGUUUUUCGGUCUGGGAUGGACUCGCGGCCUAUCAGCUUGUUGGUGAGGUAAUGGCUCACCAAGGCGAUGACGGGUAGCCGGCCUGAGAGGGCGACCGGCCACACUGGGACUGAGACACGGCCCAGACUCCUACGGGAGGCAGCAGUGGGGAAUAUUGCACAAUGGGCGAAAGCCUGAUGCAGCGACGCCGCGUGAGGGAUGACGGCCUUCGGGUUGUAAACCUCUUUCAGCAGGGAAGAAGCGAAAGUGACGGUACCUGCAGAAGAAGCACCGGCUAACUACGUGCCAGCCGCCGCCGUAAAAC